UCCUUCUUAGCUCAGUCGGUAGAGCGCGUUACUAGCAUACAAAAGCAGAAGAGAUAUAUACUUUCCUAAUUACGAGGUCAGCCGUUCAAAUCGGCUAGAAGGAA